AUUGAACGCUGGCGGCAUGCCUUACACAUGCAAGUCGAACGGCAGCGCGGGGCAACCCUGGCGGCGAGUGGCGAACGGGUGAGUAAUACUUCGGAACGUGCCCAGUAGCGGGGGAUAACGCAGCGAAAGUUGUGCUAAUACCGCAUAUUCUCUACGGAGGAAAGAGGGGAUCGCAAGACCUCUCACUAUUGGAGCGGCCGAAGCCUAGAUUAGCUAGUUGGUGAGGUAAAAGCUCACCAAGGCGACGAUCAGUAGCUGGUCUGAGAGGACGACCAGCCACACUGGAACUGAGACACGGUCCAGACUCCAC
rnacentral:rRNA from 1 species